rnacentral:rRNA from 1 species
CCUACGGGUGACUGCAGUGAGGAAUAUUGGUCAAUGGACGCAAGUCUGACCCAGCCAUGCCGCGUGCAGGCAGACGGCUCUAUGAGUUGUAAACUGCUUUUGUACGAGGGUAAACGCAGAUACGUGUAUCUGUUUGAAAGUAUCGUACGACUAAGGAUCGGCUAACUCCGUGCCAGCUGCCGCGGUAAUACGGAGGAUUCAAGCGUUAUCCGGAUUUAUUGGGUUUAACGGGUGCGUAGGCGGUCGGCUAAGUCAGUGGUGAAAUCCCGAGGCUCAACUUCGGAAUUGCCGCUGAUAAUGGUCGGAUAGAGAGUAGUUGCGGUAGGCGGAAUGCAUGGUGUAGCGGUGAAAUGCUUAGAGAUCAUACAGAACACCGAUUGCGAAGGCAGCUUACCAAGCUCCUUCUGACGUUGAGGCACGAAAGCGUGGGGAGCAAACAGGAUUAGAUACCCCUGUAGUC